rnacentral:lncRNA from 1 species
CUGAGCCGCGGCGAGCAGGAGGAGGUGCGGGAAGCGCGCGCGAGAUGCCGGUGCGGGGAGACCGCGGGUUCCCACUGCGGCGGGAGCUGUCGGGCUGGCAGCGCUCAAAUUCUAGAGUUGACUGGUAUUCGCUGCACAGAAGUCAGGAACUUGAGAAGGCAGCCGAGAUUCUCCUCUUCAGUUCCCUGCAACUUACUCUCCGCUGGGAACGAGGCAUCUGCUGUUCAAAGGAAAAAAUUCUCCUUGGGCUUUUCUGCUGAAAAAGAUGGUCAAACAGAACUGGGUUAAAAAUAAAUUGAGCUUGGGCAUUGCC